AGUUAAGUGACUAAGCGUACAAGGUGGAUGCCUUGGCAAUCAGAGGCGAUGAAGGACGUGCUAAUCUGCGAAAAGCGUGGAUGAGUCGAUAAGAGGCGUUUAAUCCAAGAUGUCCGAAUGGGGAAACCCAGUAGAUGAAGAAUCUACUAUCAACAAGUGAAUACAUAGCUUGUUGAGGCAAACCGGGAGAACUGAAACAUCUAAGUACCCCGAGGAAAAGAAAUCAACCGAGAUUUCGUUAGUAGCGGCGAGCGAACGCGAAGGAGCCUGUUAGUGAUAGCGACAGAGACAGAGGAACAAGCUGGGAAGCUUGGCGAUACCGGGUGAUAGCCCCGUACUCGAAGUCCAGGUCGUGGUACUAAGCUAACGAUAAGUAGGGCGGGACACGUGAUAUCCUGUUUGAAGAUGGGGGGACCAUCCUCCAAGGCUAAAUACUCCUGAUUGACCGAUAGUGAACCAGUACUGUGAAGGAAAGGCGAAAAGAACCCCGGUGAGGGGAGUGAAAUAGAACCUGAAACCUUGUACGUACAAGCAGUGGGAGCCCUUUAAGGGUGACUGCGUACCUUUUGUAUAAUGGGUCAGCGACUUAUAUUUUGUAGCGAGGUUAACCGAAUAGGGGAGCCGAAGGGAAACCGAGUCUUAACUGGGCGAAUAGUUGCAAGGUAUAGACCGAAACCCGGUGAUCUAGCCAUGGGCAGGUUGAAGGUUGGGUAACACUAACUGGAGGACCGAACCGACUAAUGUUGAAAAAUUAGCGGAUGACUUGUGGCUGGGGGUGAAAGGCCAAUCAAACCGGGAGAUAGCUGGUUCUCCCCGAAAUCUAUUUAGGUAGAGCCUUGAGCGGACACCUUCGGGGGUAGAGCACUGUUUCGGCUAGGGGUCCAUCCCGGAUUACCAACCCGAUGCAAACUACGAAUACCGAAGAGUGAUACUCAGGAGACACACGGCGGGUGCUAACGUCCGUCGUGGAGAGGGAAACAACCCAGACCGCCAGCUAAGGUCCCAAAGUCUAUAUUAAGUGGGAAACGAAGUGGGAAGGCUUAGACAGCUAGGAUGUUGGCUUAGAAGCAGCCAUCAUUUAAGAAAGCGUAAUAGCUCACUAGUCGAGUCGGCCUGCGCGGAAGAUGUAACGGGGCUCAAAUAUAGCACCGAAGCUGCGGCAUCAGUGGCAACACUGUUGGGUAGGGGAGCGUUCUGUAAGCGGAUGAAGGUAGCUCGAGAGGGCUGCUGGACGUAUCAGAAGUGCGAAUGCUGACAUAAGUAACGAUAAAACGGGUGAAAAACCCGUUCGCCGGAAGACCAAGGGUUCCUGUCCAACGUUAAUCGGGGCAGGGUGAGUCGGCCCCUAAGGCGAGGCUGAAAAGCGUAGUCGAUGGGAAACGGGUUAAUAUUCCCGUACUUGGAUAAACUGCGAUGUGGGGACGGAGCAGGUUAGGUUAGCGCACUGUUGGAUAUGUGCGUUUAAGUUGGUAGGUGAGAAGUUUAGGCAAAUCCGGACUUCUUUAACACUGAGAGAUGAUGACGAGGCUCUACGGAGCUGAAGUAACCGAUACCACACUUCCAGGAAAAGC
rfam:Haemophilus pittmaniae HK 85 ctg1129913985437, whole genome shotgun sequence.